rnacentral:rRNA from 1 species
UUUGACCUCAAAUCAGGUAGGACUACCCGCUGAACUUAAGCAUAUCAAUAAGCGGAGGAAAAGAAACCAACAGGGAUUGCCUCAGUAGCGGCGAGUGAAGCGGCAAAAGCUCAAAUUUGAAAUCUGGCGUCUUUGGCGUCCGAGUUGUAAUUUGAAGAAGGUAUCUUUGGGCCCGGCUCUUGUCUAUGUUCCUUGGAACAGGACGUCACAGAGGGUGAGAAUCCCGUGCGAUGAGAUGACCCGGGUCUGUGUAAAGUUCCUUCGACGAGUCGAGU